GAGUUUGAUCAUGGCUCAGAUUGAACGCUGGCGGCAUGCCUUACACAUGCAAGUCGAACGGCAGCAUGAUCUAGCUUGCUAGAUUGAUGGCGAGUGGCGAACGGGUGAGUAAUACAUCGGAACGUGCCCUGUAGUGGGGGAUAACUAGUCGAAAGAUUAGCUAAUACCGCAUACGACCUGAGGGUGAAAGUGGGGGACCGCAAGGCCUCAUGCUAUAGGAGCGGCCGAUGUYUGAUUAGCUAGUUGGUGGGGUAAAGGCCCACCAAGGCGACGAUCAGUAGCUGGUCUGAGAGGACGAUCAGCCACACUGGGACUGAGACACGGCCCAGACUCCUACGGGAGGCAGCAGUGGGGAAUUUUGGACAAUGGGCGAAAGCCUGAUCCAGCAAUGCCGCGUGUGUGAAGAAGGCCUUCGGGUUGUAAAGCACUUUUGUCCGGAAAGAAAUGGCUCUGGUUAAUACCUGGGGUCGAUGACGUACUGAAGAUUUGUUU
rnacentral:rRNA from 1 species